AAACUGUAUCUUCCAAAGUACUGAACGGAUCUGUGGUUAUAUGUGGUUCACCCUGAUCCCCCGGUUCCAAGGACAUACUUUUUAUGGGGUUAUUGCAUGUUUUGGGGUCCCUGUGAUGUGUUUUAUGAAACUGUAUUUCUCUGUCUGUGAUAAUUAGAUAACCCAUUGUGUAAGGUAAUUGUAUUACAGGCAGAGGGGAGGAUUUUGUGUGGGAGUGUCUGUCUGUAUUGUACAGAUUGAUUGGUUGUUCUGUAAAACCUUGUGGGCAGUACUAAGUUUGUGGAUUGGGAAUAAAAGAGGCUGUAUGUGCCAGUACAGUGAGUUCCUGCUUAACCCUCAAAGUGAAGUGUCGUCUCAUUAUUGGGGGAGGAUUUAUUGUAUGCUGUUCCAGUUUGACUGCUAGGAGUGUAAACCUAUUCGCAUGGUUUUUCCUAUUCAGCUGUAUACAACAUUCAUAUGCUAGAGAGGAUUCCUAUGCUUCUCAGAUUCGGUGGUUGUGGUGUCUGCUGCAGUGCUUGAAGUCCUCAAGAAGCGCUAGGAACAUCCUUCAACGGAGGUACCCAGUAGGGGUGCCAGGCGAUCCGUUACAUGGAUUGGACAAACAGUGGCCUUGUCACCGCUUUCGCUGAAGGCCUGUCCGAUACCAUUCUAGAUGAGGUUCCUGCCAGAAAAAACUUAACGAGUAUAUAACUUAUGAUACACAUAGAUAACAGGCUAAGAUAAAGGGAAGGGAUCAGAGACAAACCUAGAAGAAAUGGCACUUUUCUCGCUCCCCGCUUCUCCAACCCUGUUGUUCACAAACCCCCCCUAUUGUUGCUGCUAAACCUAUGCAGUUGGAAAUUAUAAGGUUAUUGGAAGCAGAGACACAAUUCAGGAGGAGUAUGUUUUGUGGCAAGAAGGGACAUAGGAGGAUACAUUGCCUGAUUCCUUCGAAAAACUCUUGCAUCUAAGUACCAUUAGGGGACUGGCCUAAGGUGUUCUGUAUAUGUAUCCCACUAUGCCUCUUUCGAGACUUCUCCUGUCUGUUACCAUUUUGUUACACAACCUUGAGGACAAUUGCAAAGCCCUAUUAGACUCAGGAGCAGCAGAAAGCUUUAAGGGAGAGGUCAACACCUUUGGCCGUUGAGGCCAGAUAUGGUAGACCUCUUAGGAAUCCGCUCAUUACCGGUUUCAUUGCAAGUAGGGCCUUGCAUAAGGAACAUAUCACUUUUCAGAUCUCCUCACCCUCUUGUCACAUUAUACUUUGUUUUCCAUGGCUAAUCAAGAAAGGGGAGAUACUAAAGUGGGGUGAUGGAUGUUGUAACAUAUGUUUAAAGCCUAUAACAAAGGAAUGCCUCUCCAUUGUCCAGUACGGUUCCAUCCCAAUGUGGGGGAGGUAAAAGAUGUGUUUAACAAAGUACAUGCUGAUACACUUCCACCACAUAGAUCUUAUGAUUGUCCUAUAAAUCUAUUGCCAGGUACUAUACCCCCCGAAAGGGAGAGUUUAUACCCUGUCUCCACGGAAAGUAAAAUCAUGUAGAAAUAGACAGGAUGCAUUAACUAAAGUUCAUAUACGCAGAUCCUCUUCCCCAGCAGGAGCAGGGUUUUUCUUUGUAUCUAAAAAAGAAGAUGAUCUGCGUCCUUGUACUGAAUAAUAAAAUCACCAUAAUGAACGCUUACCCUAUACCACUUAUUUCAGAACUCUAUGACAGGUUAAAAGGGGAUAAAAUAUUUACUAAACUGGAUUUAAGGAGCGUUUACAAUCUAGUUAGAAUCAAGGAAGGACAUGAAUGGAAAACAGUGUUUAAUAUCCGCAAUGGGCAUUACGAAUAUCUAGUCAUGCCUUUUGGGCUAUGUAAUGCCCCCGCUGUUUUCCACGAUCUCAUCAAUUAUGUUUUGAGAGAUUUUACUUAUUCCUUUGUGUUAGUAUAUCUAGAUGAUAUACUGAUAUACUCACCUGAGAUAGACAUGCACAAGUUAAACUAGUUCUACCGACCUAAGAAUGGUCUGUAUUGUAAACUAGAAAAAUGCCUAUUUGAUCAGAAAGAGGUAUAAUUUCUUGUCCUUUGAACAACUCAAGGCUUCAUUUGCUUCAGCCCCUAUACUUGCUCAUCCUGAUCCCGGCAGAUCUUUCAUAUUAGAAGUGGAUGCCUCUGAAACAGGGGUUGGUGCUACACUGUCCCAGAGAGAAAGUCAUGACAAACCCCUGCACCCAGGUGGCUUUUUUUUGUGAAAAGCUAUCCCCAGCGGAAAUAAUUAUGACAUAGGUAACAGAGAGCUACUGGCUAUCAUAUAGGCACAAAGACCACCUGAUCAUAAAAACCUGGAAUAUAUCGGGGAGGCUAAAAGAAUGUCACCCAGACAGGCUAGAUGGUCUCGGUUUCUUUCUCGUUUCAGUUAUAUCAUCACUUAUAGGUGUGGUACUAGGAACAUAAAGGUUGAUGCAUUAUAUGGACAGUUUGAGACGGAGGAAGAACUGGAGCAAGAGAACACUCCUAUCAUUCCUCCUGAAUGUAUUUUGGCUUCCAGUGUCCUUUCUUUGUCGAUGCCUCUUCUUGGUGUCAUAAUCGCGGCUCAACCUCAGGCAUUUUGUAAUAAACCUAAAGGUCUCCUAUUUGUUACUGAAACUGAAAGAAGGACGAUUCUUGCUAUGUUUCAUAAUACACGCAAAACCAUUUCAGUGGUAACCAGAAAGUUCUAGUGGCCCUCUCUUAAGGAUGUUAUCACUUAUGUCAAUACUUGCCAGACUUGUGCUAUCUUGAAGGUUCCGCACAAAUUGAAAUGUGGGUUGUUACAACCUCUGCCUGUGCCUCUCAUGCCGUGGUCUCAUAUAGCCAUGGACUUCACUGUGAAGUUGCCUGUCUCAAAGGGAUAUAACACUAUACUCAUGGUCAUAGAUCGAUUCUAUAAAAUGGCCCAUUUUGUCCCGCUUAAAAAAUUACCUUCCUCACAAGACCUUGCUCAGAUUUUCAUUAAGGAAAUAGUGAGGUUACAUGGGAUUCCUCAAAACAUUGUUUCUGACAGAGGUUCACAGUUCAUUUCUCCAUUCUGGAAAUCUUUUUGCAAAGAAUUGGGUAUCAACCUGUC